UACAGAGGUCUCAAGCGUUGUUCGGAUUCAUUGGGCGUAAAGGGUGCGUAGGCGGCGCGGUAAGUCGGGUGUGAAAUCUCGGAGCUUAACUCCGAAACUGCAUUCGAUACUGCCGUGCUUGAGGACUGGAGAGGAGACUGGAAUUUACGGUGUAGCGGUGAAAUGCGCAGAUAUCAGGAAGAACACCCGUGGCGAAAGCGGCUCUCUGGAACGGUACUGAGCUGAGACGCGAAAGCGUGGGGAGCGAACAGG
rnacentral:rRNA from 1 species